GAUUUCCCAAUCCCGCUUUAAUCCCGGGAAUUCCGGCCCGGGAGGAUCCGCCCGCUGACGUUUUCCCUGGAUUUUGCUUUUUCCCUGGAUUUUCGGGGGCGGGCCCGGGGAUCCGGCGCUUCCUGAUCCUCCCUCGCCGCUGGAAUUCUCCCGGGAAGAUCCCGGUUUUCCCUCGCCAUGGAAUCCUCCCGGCGCGGAUCCUCCGCUGGAUUCUCCAGAGCUGGAAAAUCCGGCCCCGAUGCGAUGUCUGAGCUCGGAGUUCACGGCUAAACCAGGGGAAAUCCCAACUUCCUUCCCUUUCCGACCCCAAAAUCUCCGGUUUGGCUUCAGCUGGCGCUUUUCCCUCUGGAAAAUUCUGGAAUUCAUUCCCGACGCUCCUCGAUCCGGGCUCGGAGCGUUUUCCCUCUGGAAAACUCUGGAAUUCAUUCCCAACACCACUAGGAUCCGGGCUCCGAGCGCUUUUCCCUCGGGGAAGGCCGUCCUGAGGCCGCCAUGGCCACCAAGGUUCCGAUUUACCUGAAGAGGAGCGGCCGCAAGGGCAAGAAGGAGAAGCUCCGGGACAUCCUCUCCUCGGACAUGAUCAGCCCUCCGCUGGGCGAUUUCCGCCACACCAUCCACGUGGGCAGCGGCGGCGAGAGCGACGCCUUCGGGGACAUUUCCUUCCUCCAGGGCAAGUUCCACCUGCUGCCGCGCG
rnacentral:lncRNA from 1 species